rnacentral:rRNA from 1 species
GGUAGAUGAUGGAAUUAAGAAGUAAAGGGAAUCUUCCUUCUUACUUCUUACUUCUGUCUUCUAUCAGUGGCGGACGGGUGAGUAACGCGUGAGCAACCUGCCUUUCAGAGGGGGAUAACACAUGGAAACGUGUGCUAAUACCGCAUAACACAUAGAGACUGCAUGGUUUCUAUGUCAAAGGAGCAAUCCACUGAAAGAUGGGCUCGCGUCCGAUUAGGCAGUUGGUGAGGUAACGGCUCACCAAACCGACGAUCGGUAGCCGGACUGAGAGGUUGAACGGCCACAUUGGAACUGAGAAACGGUCCAGACUCCUACGGGAGGCAGCAGUGGGGAAUAUUGGGCAAUGGGGGAAACCCUGACCCAGCGACGUCGCGUGAGGGAAGAAGGUCUUCGGAUUGUAAACCUUUGUCAACAGGGAAGAAGCAAGUGACGGUACCUGAAGAGGAAGCCACGGCUAACUACGUGCCAGCAGCCGCGGUAAUACGUAGGUGGCGAGCGUUAUCCGGAAUUACUGGGUGUAAAGGGUGUGUAGGCGGGGAUGCAAGUCAGAUGUGAAAACCAUGGGCUCAACCCAUGAUGUGCAUUUGAAACUGCGUUUCUUGAGUGUGGGAGAGGUAAGCGGAAUUCCUAGUGUAGCGGUGAAAUGCGUAGAUAUUAGGAGGAACACCAGUGGCGAAGGCGGCUUACUGGACCACAACUGACGCUGAGACACGAAAGCGUGGGGAGCAAACAGGAUUAGAUACCCUGGUAGUCCACGCUGUAAACGAUGAAUGCUAGGUGUAGGGGGCUUGACCCUCUGUG